AAUCUAAUAAGUAUUUCUGUUUCAUGCUAGCACGUUUUAAUUAAUUUUUAUCGUCUGCUCAUUAAUAGCGAAUGUGACACAAUGUUGUGUUUUAUAUUGUUGUUGUUGCCAGGAAUAACAUUCCAAUACAAGAUAAGGAUUAAUGGAAAAGUUGAAAUGGGUGAACAAGUUUCAAAUUUCUUGAAGACGAUUUACAGCAAAGUUUCGGGCAACACGUAUACAAAUCUGGAAUUAUCUGAUAUAGAACAUAAGCUAUCUAAAGACGUCUUAGAAGCGCCAUUUAUUCAUGAAAUAAUGAGCAAGGACCAAAUGACUCAUAUAUACGGUACGCAUGAUGAAGAAAAUGAAAUACACGAAAAACACAAUAAUAUUAAAGUAUGAUGUACCACAAAUAGUAGAACGUGUUGGAAAAUUCUGGAAGAAAAUGUUAUAUACUGUGACGUAACAUACAAACUUCGAUAAGGUUCUCGUGAUUUUAUUAAUUACCCCAAACACAAUAAAUACUUUAAAUUAUAUUCGAAUAUCAAGCAAGUAUAGUUCGAGCUGAAUUCAUAUGUCGUAACAAAUAAAAUGCUAUAUUAUUCAAAACAAUCUUCACAUAAAACAAAAAGAAACGAAUUUUAGGUUCCUAAGUGAACGCUAUAUGCAAAUAAAUAAUGAAUGUAAUGAAUACAAAAUAGUUCAAUAUCUUAUAUACUGGUAAAACUGUUGAAUCAUCACUG
rnacentral:misc_RNA from 1 species